AAAUUAAGAAAAAAGGUCUCUCAGAUUCGCUCUCCCUCACUCACUCAUUCCCACCAACCACUCUCUCAUCUCUACACAUUCCAAAAAAAAGAAAAGACAAAAGAAAGACAGCUCUAAAAAAUCUGAAAAAUAAAAAGAGAUUCAUUGUUCUCUCUCUCAUGAAAAUCCCCACACGUCUCCGCCAAUCUCCUUCAACCACCGGCGAAACCCCCUUCUUCUUCA
rnacentral:lncRNA from 1 species